UUCUUACAGCUCUUCAUACCGACAAAGCAGAGAUUAGUUUGGUCCAAACCAUCACAUUUUUAACCAAGCCUCAGGGGGUACCCCUCCCUCAGGGGCUGGAAGAAACGAGUGGUUUGGUAACUGAUAUUCACAUCUCCCAUCAGAAAGUGCAUGGAAUUAGGGCAGCCAUAUAUUUCCUCCAAUUUGGCAUUGAACUGGAGGCACAGAACAAGCAUAAUUUCCACGCUAGAUUGGAGAUGUAAUAGGAAAGCCAUCUAACAGGUGAAAAAUGAAGUGGCCCCUGACACGGACAGUUACUCCUUCCUCCCUGUCAAAGCCUUACCCGCUGCUCCCUGAAGUCUCUGUGUGAUAUAAACUGUGCUCAUUCUGCAAGCUCACUGCAGGCCAAGCAGCUGUUAAUAGCACUUGAGUGUGCUUCUGUAACCAUCUGCAGGCGUUCAGCUCCUACACAGGGUAUCUCCACGCUGCUGCUGGAAGACAGCAUUGAAGUACGUGUUGUGAUACCCAGACUGCUUGUAGUCCAGGGUGGGAUGCAAAAUCUGAUGCUGCAGAAGCACAGGCUUCAUUGUGGGCUGUCCAAGCUUGCUGGCAAUCUGGGUACCUCCCUGUGCUUUCACAGCUGACCAUGACCAGCUCGGCUGUGUCUGUACAUAUCACGGCUUCGCCUCCUGACAGUGGGAUGCGCGUUCCUGAGACAGCAAGUGCUUGGAGGGGGAUCAUCUUUUUGAUUCAUGGUGAUGGCCCAGGUUGCUAACAGGCCCUUUGGAGUUUGCUAUACUGUUGCAUGGGAUGCUCAGCUGCAUGAUCAGCUGAUAAGCCUCAUCGUUUUUCAGUAUCCUGCGAUCCAGCUUUUACACGUCACCAUUUCUUUGUUCCUACAGACAUGCUCUGGCUCCUACAUUAUCAACCACCCAGACUGGCAAACCUUGCAAGAGUCUGCAAUAAUUACUCGAUGGUGACUUCACACAGGUUUCAAGUUGUAAACAGUGCUCAACCCUCUGUAUUAGAGUGUUUUACCACUAUGACAUGGCAGACCAUCAGCAUAGUGUAGCACUUGGAUGAAUACCAGGAGAGACAUAAUGACCUGGAAGCAUAAAGAGACCCGAAACUCAGUUCUGAAAGUACUGUGCAAAUUUACCUAAAAUGUAAAUGUAUAUCAGUACUAUUGUAAAACUGACAAUCUUGUAUUGUGUGGGUUGUUUGGUUUUUUCUUUUUUUUUCUUUUUUUUUUUUUUAGAUAGAAUGACACUGAGAAUACAGUGUUUGUUACAGCUGUGCUUUUGUUAAUGAGGUUCAAACCCAGCCAAUUCAGACAGAAGAAUCUUCACUGCAGACUGUUAGAAGGGUGGUAAAAACAAUGGUAGUUUUGCUGCUGGAAACUGUACAUCUAGAACGUCACAGCAGGGGACCUGUCUAAUAUUUCAAGUAUUUUUAUGUUAAAUGUUUGGGAGUGCCGUUUGAAUGCCAUCCCCUGAAAAGUCAGUAACUGCUCAUCACAGGACAGAACAGGAAAGCAUUUGACAACCAUCUUUGCAGCAAGAAUCUGUUGCAAGCCUGUACAAGUGAUGUAAGAAUGGUUGCAUAUAUGAAAAGGUGCACUUCUUCAAGGAGCAAUAUUCCUGAUUUUGUUUUGUUUAGAGAAAUCCUGGUAUUAUUAUUAUUAUUAUUAUUACUCUUGCAACAUCAUUUGAGAUGGAAGCAACUAUUUCAAAUAAAAACAAAUAUUUCAGGGAAA